rnacentral:rRNA from 1 species
UGGGGAAUAUUGCACAAUGGAGGAAACUCUGAUGCAGCAACGCCGCGUGAGUGAUGAAGGUCUUCGGAUUGUAAAGCUCUGUCUUCUGGGACGAUAAUGACGGUACCAGAGGAGGAAGCCACGGCUAACUACGUG